rnacentral:rRNA from 1 species
GAUGAACGCUGGCGGCGUGCCUAAUACAUGCAAGUCGAGCGAACGGACGAGAAGCUUGCUUCUCUGAUGUUAGCGGCGGACGGGUGAGUAACACGUGGAUAACCUACCUAUAAGACUGGGAUAACUUCGGGAAACCGUAUCUAAUACCGGAUAAUAUUUUGAACCGCAUGGUUCAAAAGUGAAAAACGGUCUUGCUGUCACUUAUAGAUGGAACCGCGCUGCAUUAGCUAGUUGGUAAGGUAACGGCUUACCAAGGCAACGAUGCAUAGCCGACCUGAGAGGGUGAUCAGCCACACUGGAACUGAGACACGGUCCAGACUCCUACGGGAGGCAGCAGUAGGGAAUCUUCCGCAAUGGGCGAAAGCCUGACGGAGCAACGCCGCGUGAGUGAUGAAGGUCUUCGGAUCGUAAAACUCUGUUAUUAGGGAAGAACAUAUGUGUAAGUAACUGUGCACAUCUUGACGGUACCUAAUCAGAAAGCCACGGCUAACUACGUG